rnacentral:lncRNA from 1 species
AAAUUUUAGAAGCUGUUAAAAUCGUCAAAGGUCAAAAUACUUGUUUUCAUCCAGCAACAAAUUCAUUUUCCAAUGGGGCUCAUUCACACAGGGCCUGGCACCCAUUGCCCAUUGGCAGUUCACAGUUCAUUUUGGCACACCAAAUACCGAUAGGUACAAGUCACAGAAUCAUUGACCUUCAAAGAAUCUCAAGAAAUUAUCUGGUCUGCCCCCUCAACAGACACUUAAACCAUUCAAGACAAAAAUGUCAACUCUCUAAUUCUAGAAAUCCUCUGGAAAAUUGCUGCUGCAGCUCUUUGUGUUCAAAGAUGAUUUUAGCAUAUUUACCUGUUUUGCUUUGUGGCCUCUGAGUUCAGAGCAUAAACUAAAAUUUUGUUUAAAUUAAGGCAGCUUAGAAUUUUUUUCUUUCUGCAAAUGUCUCUUUUCUUUAUUUGAUCCUCAAAACGGCUGAGCUAAUUUUAAUAUUUUUUUUUAAAAAAACCACCUUAUUCCUAGGCUGUAAACCUGCAUGACGAAUUCCAGCCCAGAGCAACAUUUUUAUGAUCCAGUGUCAAGUUCUUGAAAAAUGAAAAAUGAGAGGAAAGAGAGAUUUAACUGUAACGUGGAUACAUUUUGGACUGGAUGUUACCAAUUGAAUAAGACUCCAAGAGAUAUAGUCCUCAACUCAAAGCAAGACAAUUUUCUACCCGGUUUUCCACUUGCCAAGUUCCUGUCACUAUGCUUUUGGCUUGGACACCUGGACUUAUUCUUCAAAGACAACUCAAGUUCUUUCUCCCUCAAGUUCCAGACAUUGCUGGAAGCAGAGAUGGACAAGAUGUUACCCACACUGGUUCUGAUACCCGUGACCCAUUUAUCCCAAGGAGAAAUUAUCCAUGUGGCAUACUGGCUUAACAUCUAGACCACCAAACAAAGACUCCACCAUUCUCCUUGAGGAGUAAGCUUUUACACUAACUUCAGCACUAUUCUGAAAUGUCUUUGUCUUACCAGUGCAAAGCUGGCCUAAGGAUUUUAAUACUGAAGUUCACAGUCAGGCAGUAACACCCAAAAUAAACUGUUCUUCCUAAGUAUAAACA